rnacentral:rRNA from 1 species
GAAGGUGUGCUGUGAGGCAUGCUGGAGGUAUCAGAAGUGCGAAUGCUGACAUAAGUAACGAUAAAGCGGGUGAAAAGCCCGCUCGCCGGAAGACCAAGGGUUCCUGUCCAACGUUAAUCGGGGCAGGGUGAGUCGACCCCUAAGGCGAGGCCGAAAGGCGUAGUCGAUGGGAAACAGGUUAAUAUUCCUGUACUUGGUGUUACUGCGAAGGGGGGACGGAGAAGGCUAUGUCGGCCGGGCGACGGUUGUCCCGGUUUAAGCGUGUAGGCUGACUUUCCAGGCAAAUCCGGAAAGUUAAGGCUGAGGCGUGAUGACGAGGCACCACGGUGCUGAAGUGACAAAUGCCCUGCUUCCAGGAAAAGCCUCUAAGCAUCAGGUAACAUCAAAUCGUACCCCAAACCGACACAGGUGGUCAGGUAGAGAAUACCAAGGCGCUUGAGAGAACUCGGGUGAAGGAACUAGGCAAAAUGGUGCCGUAACUUCGGGAGAAGGCACGCUGACAUGUAGGUGAAGCCCCUGCGGGUGGAGCUGAAGUCAGUCGAAGAUACCAGCUGGCUGCAACUGUUUAUUAAAAACACAGCACUGUGCAAACACGAAAGUGGACGUAUACGGUGUGACGCCUGCCCGGUGCCGGAAGGUUAAUUGAUGGGGUUAUCGCAAGAGAAGCUCCUGAUCGAAGCCCCGGUAAACGGCGGCCGUAACUAUAACGGUCCUAAGGUAGCGAAAUUCCUUGUCGGGUAAGUUCCGACCUGCACGAAUGGCGUAAUGAUGGCCAGGCUGUCUCCACCCGAGACUCAGUGAAAUUGAACUCGCUGUGAAGAUGCAGUGUACCCGCGGCAAGACGGAAAGACCCCGUGAACCUUUACUACAGCUUGACACUGAACAUUGAGCCUUGAUGUGUAGGAUAGGUGGGAGGCUUUGAAGCGUGGACGCCAGUCUGCGUGGAGCCAACCUUGAAAUACCACCCUUUAAUGUUUGAUGUUCUAACCUGGCGCCGUAAUCCGGCGUGGGGACAGUGUCUGGUGGGUAGUUUGACUGGGGCGGUCUCCUCCCAAAGUGUAACGGAGGAGCACGAAGGUCAGCUAAUCCUGGUCGGACAUCAGGAGGUUAGUGCAAUGGCAUAAGCUGGCUUGACUGCGAGAGUGACGGCUCGAGCAGGUGCGAAAGCAGGUCAUAGUGAUCCGGUGGUUCUGUAUGGAAGGGCCAUCGCUCAACGGAUAAAAGGUACUCCGGGGAUAACAGGCUGAUACCGCCCAAGAGUUCAUAUCGACGGCGGUGUUUGGCACCUCGAUGUCGGCUCAUCACAUCCUGGGGCUGAAGUAGGUCCCAAGGGUAUGGCUGUUCGCCAUUUAAAGUGGUACGCGAGCUGGGUUUAGAACGUCGUGAGACAGUUCGGUCCCUAUCUGCCGUGGGCGCUGGAGAAUUGAGGGGGGCUGCUCCCAGUACGAGAGGACCGGAGUGGACGCAUCACUGGUGUUCGGGUUGUCAUGCCAAUGGCACUGCCCGGUAGCUAAAUGCGGAAGAGAUAAGUGCUGAAAGCAUCUAAGCACGAAACUUGCCCCGAGAUGAGUUCUCCCUGACUCCUUGAGAGUCCUGAAGGAACGUUGAAGACGACGACGUUGAUAGGCCGGGUGUGUAAGCGCAGCGAUGCGUUGAGCUAACCGGUACUAAUGAACCGUGAGGCUUAACCUU